CAACACUGUCGCUACAGUCCCAUUAGUUAUCUUUGCAGCACUGUUUGAAUGUCGCGGUUGCGCACAUUUGUACGGAAUGGGUUGAGUUUACGUUAGUUCAAUAGUAAUAUCCUCUACAACGAUCUGGUGACAAACAAACUUUACUGCCCUGUUUCCAAUUUUCCACAUGGCUAGGAGAACCUAUUCGAGUAAGUAAAUACAUUUCUAAAAUGUAAAAAAGUAUUUAUUAUUAGCUAAUUAGCUAUGGUGCAGGCUAACUCAAAUGAGCUGCUAAAUGAGCUAGCUAGUUGGCUAGCUAGCUACCCAGCCAACUUCACAUACUGUAUAGAUAGCUAGCUAAGUGAAUGAAAUAUCACCAUCUACCUAACUUAAUAUUAGCUAGCUAUCUUGAUAUAUUUAUCACUGUAAAAAACAAACUCAAAAUGCAUUUGUAUGUAGCUAGCUAACAGCCAUGGAGGAGGGUGAAAAGAUAACAACCCCAACUGUCAGUGAGAGAGUAGGCUAUUCUAGAUAGGGCAGGUACUUUUGUGUAGUUCCUGUCCCUAGAUGUGAGGAUGGAGAUAAUAGCAACAUAAUAUUCGGUGUGGUGUAAUUUGACUAUAAUGAAGUCUGUUUCUUGUGAGGUUUUCUGUCCUCAGAUAAAGAGAGCUAUGAAAGCCAGUCUACAUAUGAAGAGGUCCCAAUGAAGAGCAGUGGUUCUCUGUCCUGGUCCUGGGGACUCAAAGGGAUACCUUGUAAUUGGAGAUUCCUUCAAAACCAUUGCCUACAGUUAACGUAUAGGGCACUGCAAGGUUGGGUGACCAGGGCCAUCUGAGACGAAUUCACGUGUGUGAAGGCUACCUGUGUCCUGCAUAACUUCAUGAGGAUGGAUACGAGGACCAGGAGGGGAUCUGCAGAUUGCCGCCGUGUGCCAGAGAAGUGCUGCUGAGAAGUGCAUGCUGCUCUGCAGGAUGUUUCAAGGUUGGGGUCCAACAACGCAGCAAGAGAGGCAAUCCAUGUGCUGGAGCUCGUCACCUCCUACUUCUUCAAAGAGGGUGCUGUUCCUUGGCAACACCAUAGACUACACUAUGCACAACCAAAGGCUAUUUUAAGAGCCAUUCACAUUGCAAUAAGAGUAUUCUUCCAUUUACUUAGCUAUGUCAACUGCAGUUAUUCAAUUCCCAGUUUCUCCCUUUGAUUUCUACUUCUCAGGUGAGGGUGCUGUUUGGGUAAGGGUGUGAUGUCUGUACAAAAACAAAACAGGCUAUUUUAAAUCACCCAUAUUGAAAGAAAUGUAGAACAAUUAGACACCCUAUAAGCCAUACCUACACACUCAUAAGCAGGCUCAGGUAUAUAACUGUGGCUCCUUCCACCUUCAAAGAAAAGGUAAGAGGGCCAACCAUCAGAAUAAUAAAGCACGUCAUUAUUUCUAUUACCACGAUAUUUUGUUUGUCCUCAUGUGUCCAUUCCUAAAGUACUCUGCAGCCACUUAGUGUAGUGUGGACACCAGGUGAGGCCGCACACAUAGAUUCCUGUUGAACACUGUCUUUUUAACUACCUUAUUUUCUCAAUAACAGUCUCUCGCCAACCCCCGGUCCCAUCACCGCUACCUCACCCACUUUUAAGAUAACCUUCGGGCCGAUUAGAGACACUAUUAUGUAAUUGUGAUGAACUGAGAGAAUAUUUGGGUAGCACUGAUUCAAUAAUCAUAUCCCUGCUCCUAUGUUCUUACCUCUUUCCCUUUCUGUCUUUUACACCUCCCUCACCACCUACUCUUUCUUCCUCUGUUUUUAUAAUUCACAACAGAUGUGCAUUGAAGUACAGAUUGAACUUGUAUUUAUAAUAUUACAAUUAUAAUAUUAAUGCAUGUAUUUAUAGCACUUAGAUAUGAACUUCUUUAAUAAAGUGUUUCACAUUCUCUA